AAACUUAAAGGAAUUGACGGGGGCCCGCACAAGCGGUGGAGCAUGUGGUUUAAUUCGACGCAACGCGCAGAACCUUACCAGGGUUUGACAUCCUGUGCUCACUCCUGAAAGGGAGUUUCCCCGCAAGGGGCGCAGAGACAGGUGCUGCAUGGCUGUCGUCAGCUCGUGUCGUGAGAUGUUGGGUUAAGUCCCGCAACGAGCGCAACCCUCGCCUUUAGUUGCCAUCAUUCAGUUGGGCACUCUAGAGGGACCGCCGGCGGCAAGCCGGAGGAAGGUGGGGAUGACGUCAAGUCCUCAUGGCCCUUACACCCUGGGCUACACACGUGCUACAAUGGCGGUGACAAUGGGCAGCUACUUCGCGAGAAGAUGCUAAUCCCAAAAACCGUCCCAGUUCAGAUUGUACUCUGCAACUCGGGUACAUGAAGGUGGAAUCGCUAGUAAUCGCAGAACAGCAGGCUGCGGUGAAUACGUUCCCGGGCCUUGUACACACCGCCCGUCACGGCAUGGGAGUUGGUUUUACCCGAAGACGGUGCGCUAACCGCAAGGAGGCAGCCGGCCACGGUAGGAUCAGCGACUGGGCCGAAGUCGUAACAAGGUAGCCGUAGGGGAACCUGCGGCUGGAUCACCUCCUUUCUG
rnacentral:rRNA from 1 species